UAAUAAUUUAAUUACUUUAUUUUUUAAUUUGAUCUUUUUUAAAAAAUAUUUUUGUUUUUAGUAUUUAGAAUAAAAAUUAGGUUUUUAGUGAUAUAAUAUUUGUACCGUGAGGGUAUUUUGAAAUAUUUUGAAAUAUUUAUUUUUAUAAAAGUAUAUUUUAUUUGUAUUACCUUUUGUAUCAGGGUUGAUCAACUUUACUUAAUUUAUUUUAAAUUCUCGAUUUCAGAAGAGCUACUAAUAAUUUAAUUUAUUUAGUGUUAUAUAACUAUUAAAAAUAUUUAUUAGGAGAGAAAUUCUAUUCGUUUAUAAUGGUAUCUAGUUUUUUAAGAAAUAAAUUUAAUUUAACUUUAAUUUUUCUUUUUCUUCUUUAUUAGACUUAGAUUAAUUAAAUUAAAAUUAAUAGGGGAUAAGCUCUAUUUAUUUUUAUAAUAUUAAUUGUUUUGUUUAUAGUAGGAUUAUAAUCUUCCAUCUUUUUAUCACGUUAUAGUGUAUUUCAAUUUAUUUUUGAUUUUAUUUUAUUUAAUUAAAUAUUAAAAUUUUCUAAUUAAUUUAGGAUUAGAAGUAAUAAUGAUUAAAUUAGUAUAUUAUUUUUUGUUUGGUGUUUAUUUUAUGUGUUUUAUCAAUAAGGAACUCGGCAAAUUUUGUGUUCGCCUGUUUAUCAAAAACAUGGCCUCUUGCUUAUUUUGGAGGUCUGACCUGCCCAGUGAAAAUUUUUAACGGCCNCGGUAUUUUGACCGUGCAAAGGUAGCAUAAUCAUUAGUCUUUUAAUAGGGGGCUGGAAUGAAAGGUUUAACGAAUCAUUAGCUGUCUCAUUUUUAUAAUUUAAAACUUAAUUUUUAAGUUAAAAAGCUUAAAUGUUGUUGGAGGACGAGAAGACCCUAUAGAGCUUUAUAUUAAUUUUUUUAAUAAAAUGUUGAUUUAUAUCUUAGGUAUUAAAAUAACUUAUUAUUUUGUUGGGGUGACAAAAAUAAAUAAUUAACUGUUUUAUUGUUUAAACAUAAAUUUAUGAGUUUUUGAUCCAUUAUUAUUGAUUAUUAGAUUAAGUUACCUUAGGGAUAACAGCGUAAUCUUUUUUUGGAGUUCAAAUUUACAAAAAGGCUUGCGACCUCGAUGUUGGAUUAAGAUUAUAAUCUGGUGCAGUAGCUAGAUUAAUAGGUCUGUUCGACCUUUAAAUUCUUACA
rnacentral:rRNA from 1 species